GGGAAGUCUGGUGUAACAUCAGAGACAAGAAGGCUGUGAGGAUGUGAGAAUGGACAUGAAGCACCUGGAACAUUCCUUACAAAUCCUGCACCAACACCACUAAUGAAGAGAAGUUGAAUGGAGAUAAAACAGGAGGUGCCAGCAUUAUGGGAUGGCGGUGUAAGCUCUGCACAUUUGUCGUAUCAUCAAAAGGAAUUUUGAUCAUUAUCGAG